UUGGAAAAAUAUUGAUUUUAUUAAAUUGGUUUAGAUGUGUUGGUUAAGUUUAAAUUGACAUUGGUUUAGAGAUUUUAGUUGGUUUUUCAAUUUUACAAAACUUGAUAGGUUAAUUGGGUAAACCAUUGAAACCAUUAACCAUUACAACCCAACUCAUUUGACUCAUCAAACCAAUUGACCCAAUAACUCAUUUGACCCAUCAACUCAUUUGAGUCAAAAAA
rnacentral:sRNA from 1 species